CACCAGACUCCUACGGGAGGCAGCAGUGGGGGAUAUUGCACAAUGGGGGAAACCCUGAUGCAGCGACGCCGCGUGAGUGAAGAAGUAUUUCGGUAUGUAAAGCUCUAUCAGCAGGGAAGAAAAAAGACGGUACCUGACUAAGAAGCCCCGGCUAACUACGUGCCAGCAGCCGCGGUAAUACGUAGGGGGCAAGCGUUAUCCGGAUUUACUGGGUGUAAAGGGAGCGUAGACGGCAAUACAAGUCGGAAGUGAAAUACCCGGGCUUAACCUGGGAACUGCUUUGGAAACUGUAUGGCUGGAGUGCUGGAGAGGUAAGCGGAAUUCCUAGUGUAGCGGUGAAAUGCGUAGAUAUCACGCAGAACUCCGAUUGCGAAGGCAGCAUACCGGCGCUCAACUGACGCUCAUGCACGAAAGUGUGGGUAUCGAACAGGAUUAGAUACCCGGGUA
rnacentral:rRNA from 1 species